AUAACAAUACAGGACUCUUUCUAGGCCCUGUAAUUGGAAUGAGUCCACUUUAAAUCCUUUAACGAGGAUCUAUUGGAGGGCAAGUCUGGUGCAGAGCGACUGACCUGUGCGUGCUGCAGCUGAAA